UUUGACCUCGGAUCAGGUAGGGAUACCCGCUGAACUUAAGCAUAU
rnacentral:rRNA from 17 species